GGUAGCGUGGCCGAGCGGUCUAAGGCGCUGGUUUAAGGCACCAGUCUCUUCGGAGGCGUGGGUUCGAGUUCCACCGCUGCCA
rnacentral:tRNA from 1 species